GAAAUGCGAUAAGUAAUGUGAAUUGCAGAAUUCAGUGAAUCAUCGAAUCUUUGAACGCACCUUGCGCCCUUUGGCUAUUCUGAAGGGCAUGCCUGUUUGAGCAUCAUAAACAUCUCAACUCUCACGGUUUUCUGUGAUGAGAUUGGACUUUGGGGGUCUUGUUGGCUUGUGUUCAGCUCCCCUCAAAUCUAUCAGCUUCCCAGUGUUUGGCAGCAUCACAGGUGUGAUAAAUAUCUACGCUUGUGGUUUUUUGCCAGGUCUGUCCUCUCCUUGCAGAGGGCUCGCUGGAGCUCAUAGAUGUCUCUCCUUGGUGGAGACAGCUGUUUGAAGUUUGGUCUCAAAUCAGGUAGGAUUACCCGCUGAACUUAA
rnacentral:misc_RNA from 1 species